UGGCGAACGGGUGAGUAACGCGUGAGGAACCUGCCUCAAAGAGGGGACAACAGUUGGAAACGACUGCUAAUACCGCAUAAGCCCACGACCCGGCAUCGGGUAGAGGGAAAAGGAGCAAUCCGCUUUGAGAUGGCCUCGCGUCCGAUUAGCUAGUUGGUGAGGUAACGGCCUACCAAGGCGACGAUCGGUAGCCGGACUGAGAGGUUGAACGGCCACAUUGGGACUGAGACACGGCCCAG
rnacentral:rRNA from 1 species